CCAAACCCAACCUUUUUUUGGUGACUGAGAGAAACGGUCCGAUGACGAGGUCAUUUGCUUAGCAUCGCUGAGCACAUUUUCUCAGCCGGCCCGAGUCACGCACAGGCUGCUCCAGCGACCUCAUCCCCCACGCCCCACUUCCACUGUCACGCUCCCGCUCUGAAGCCAAGGAGAUCAAAACCCUCGUAAUCUAUUCCCCCCGCAAUUGACUAUUGUUAUUCGCAGAGGAGGAGGGGGGAGGUUGGAGGAGGAGAAAAAGGAGAACAUGCGUUAAGAGGAGCGGUUUAACAUGACAAAGCUGUUCUCGGUCAAUCCCUUUUUAUUCUUCUCUCUGGUUCUUCAUGAGCCUUUUUCUCUUUUUCCCUUGUUUUUUGCUUUUUCUUCCCCUCUUAAUAUCCACCUCCCGCUGCCCCAUUGCAAAUCCACUUCACCCCUCCCAUGCAAAUAGCCCUUUGCCCCCUCCAUAUUUAUGAUCCUGCUUCCUCAACUGUUGAAUAUGCGCUUAAGUACAGAGUGCCUUGAAUACUGCCAGUCAGAUUGGAUUAGCGGGUGUCAAUGGGUAGAUAACCUCUCUGUUAGAGUGAGUGAAGAGCAAACACUCGAGCAUAAGCAUUCAUGACGGUCCUUUGGCCUUCAAACGCUGAGAGGCACUGUGUGUGGCACUCAGCCCAAUAAAGAUGAAUAGGCUCUUGUUAAUGUGUAUAGGUGUAAUUUCAGGGCUGGCAGACUAGCUUGCGUAUGAGUAGCAUUUUCCAGGAUUUUCUUCCCCAGUGUAUUGUUUUUAAAUGCAGAGGCCAGAAAUGUGUUCACAAUCACUCCGCUAAUUGAAAUCAUCUGUCUUAAAUCUCGCAACAAUAAUGUUUUUGAAUGACUUACUGUGCUCCGAGCAGGCUUUUCUGCUCCACCACCCACCUCUUUCUGAUGACUUUGUCAGAUGAAUAUUUUGGAGGCCUGUUGCUCUAUAAGACUGAAUUAUAUGUUUCUGGUUAUGUUGACAUUUACUUCCAUGAGAAGAAAAUGAGCCCAGGCUGAUUAUGGUUAGACAAAAAAAAAUAGUUCCCUUAAGACGACUAAGAAGCUUUUACAUCACACACAGACUGUAAAUAUCCACAGAUUGUUCUGUAACCUUCUUCUCAGUUGCUUGCUGUGAUGCAUUUUUUUUCACUCUUUUGUAUUGUAUUUCCAAACAACCAAAUUUGUAUUUUCCUGUAAGCGAGGAAAAAGUGCAGAAGCUAUUCCUUAGUCAGCUGACUAGUGGUAGAUAUCACCAUUAGUGUCAUUAGCAUUAGUAUGUUGUUCAUCUGCUUCUACCUUGUCCCCAGAAUGUCUCCUCAUACACAAUUUAAAAUGCACAAGUAACCAAGUGUUUUCAGCGGGGCAACUCUAGAAUGACUUCCCGUGGUACUUAUAAAUAAAAGUAUCAGAAAUAGAUUCAGGAUGUGGAGCUUAAAGCACCCACUGCAUAGCCAGGACUCCUGCUAACAGCUUGUACUUUGCUCAGACUUUGACUAGAAACAUUGACUCAUUUUAAUAUGAUAGCAUCUUGUACCAGAGGUAUACCACGCUCUGGAAGCUAGAGCCUUUACCACACUUUGAAAAUAUCAGAUAAGGAUGUUUCUGUCUGACUGAUGAUGUAAACAAUUGAAAGGCAUGAUUCAUUUAAACAAAAAAUUACACUUGGCUCUCGUGGCUCCUAAUCAUUCUCAUCUCUGAUCAGUUGCUGGAAACACUCUGGAAGAUCUGCUCCCAUCUCGUCUGUUCUUGUUUUUGUUUUUCUUUUUUUGCUGGGAUGUGGAAACUGGAAGCAGGCAGAGCAGAGUGAAUGAUGCAGACAUUUAGUUUUCUCCCUAGAUGCUUCUCUUUCAGAACAUUUCGGCACCGUUUCAGGCCUGCAGCAAUUUGAGUGAAAAGGACUUUGGUUUUUGGUGCUCCGGAUUUAGCAACUGCUUUUUGCCCUCUACGGACUCCCGAUAUGCAUGAACGCAAGUUUGUUUAUUGUCUGAGAGGACAGAACCAAACAGUCGGCCACUUUAGCACAAUCAUACAGCCGACGGGGAGAAACUCAGCAAAACGUUGCAGCUUAAUGUUUCAUGAUGGUGUUUUUUUCUUUCUCUCUCUUCAUUUUUUGCUGUUGAAACUGAAACAUUUCGUGAUUGUUUCAUAUGUGUGUGUGCUGUUGUCAUGCUCUAAAGACGGUUCUCCAGGAAGGGCGUUUUAUUUAUCUUUAAGAAAGUUGGCAAAGGCAGAUUGCACUCUGGUUGCACCUUCUCGAUUUCUUUCUCUCUUUCUCUCUUUUUUUUUUAUUAAGCGGUGAAGCAAACGUUGUACUCUCUUUUUUUUUUUCUUACUUAAUCUCUGAUUUUGAAAUGUUUUUCUCGCAUCUGAAGCUCGCCGGUGAACCCUGACCCUCCUGCCUGAACAUUUCCCAACCUCUGAUUGCUCAUCCUGACGGUAAACAACUGAUUACCGCCGAUAAACGUCGCGCCCAGUUGUGAAUCCUCCAUUAUCAUUAGAAGAAUUUAUCAACUCCAGCCUCAGGUUUGGAUUCACACACUCUCGUCCUGCUUGUUGUGGGUUCAUAGAGUGUUACAGGCCCUUUUAAACACCCUUCCCUCCAUGUCCCCUCCCUCUGCUCUAUCUGCACUCAUCCUGGCACCCUUUGACCGAUGAGGGCUGACUUUUGGCCUCUUUUGCCCACCGUCAUGUCCCUCACCAUCAACUCAUGCCAGAUAUCUCCGGUCACCCUGGGGCAUGUGCCAGCUUGCAUAGCUCCACUGUCACUCAGCAGGCAUUGACAGCUGCUGGGUUAGAGUUGCUCUCUGGUACUUUACAGGGGGAGAGUUGAUGUUAGAGGUCACCCGGUUCUCCCUCUCCCCCCACCAAGAUGAUAUUUUCUUGAUCCUCUUGAUGCUGUUUUCUUUCCCCCAUCGAUUCAGAAAUGAUGGAACAAACGCAGGAUGUUGAAAUGAUUGAACUUUUCAUAUUUUGUAACCUUAACAUACCUUAGUUUUUAUGAACAGAUAGGUUAAACCUAAUAUUUCUUUUUCUAUCUUCACUAAGUCUGUUGUAAUAAGAAACCAAUUAAUCACAUGAAAAAUUAAAAUGAGCUCAAUUGCCUUUCUAACAGUCAAGGGGAGUUUGAGUUAGACUUUAUAAUCCAUUUUAUUUAUGGUUUCAGUUAUUUAGUUUUUAUGUCUUUAUUUGUUGUGUUUUGCUUUGGAUAUUUAAAAUGUCUUCCAGUUGUGGUAUUAAGUGUUCUUUACAAAAUCAUAGUUUUAGUCUAUAAGAGGGAGAACUUGUGUUAUUAUGCCAUUAUCAAUAUAUUACUUGAAAAUGGUCGCAAAACAACAAUAUUGUCAUUUAUCGCAGUUAUUCUUGGGACAAUUUAUAGUCCAGUACAAUUUAUUGUGACAGACUUGUAAUUAUCUAUUAUCACCCUAAACAUAACUAUCAAUAUGGUGAAACAUGGCGGUGGCAGCAUCAUGCUGUGCUUUCCUUCAGUAGGGAUGAGGAAGUACAUACACACACACACACACACACACACACAGACACACACACACACACACACACACACAUAUUUUAGAGUAUUGACUUUAACACAUUUGUUUUGAUGAAUUUAUUACAUCAAAUUUCGCACGUUAAAAUUUUCAGCUGCAUUUCUGUUUACAUACAAAGGAAUCUUUGUAUUUGCACGUUUCGCACAAGCAACAUCAGUAAACAGUGAUGGGGGGGGGGGAGAGAUUCUUGAAUUGAAAAUGUGGCUUAUUUUGUCAGUUAUUUCAAUUAAAAUGUGACUAUUUCUAACUAUUAUAAUUAAUCAUGUAGAGGUCUUCCUUCCACUGCAUAAUUAUGCAGCUAUGAGGUGACAGCAGGUGAAAGAGUUGAAUACUGUUUUUAGCUGUGGUCGGUGUGCUGCAGCUGUCCUCUGGUUUGUCAGGAGGUUCCUAAUCACCUACAACAGUGGCGGCAUGUGGCAGCAGUCGCUAUAGUUAACAUGAAGUCUUUGCUCAAAGUCUGGUCACCUUUGCCAUCUGCUCAAUCACUCGCCGCCCCCCUCCCCCCAAACCCCAUCUCCCCACCCCCGGCCUCCUCACACCCCUCAGACUCUAGUUUGUCCACACAUGUUCUCUACUCCGUCUCCAUUUGCCGUCGAGCCGAUGAUAGUGAAACCUGGUGUGGUGAUGUGUUGGAGGCCUGGCGGCUUGGGGAUUGUCCCGGGGAACACGGCGGCGCUGAUGAAAACCAGACAUCCCCCUUCUCCCCCCACCCCAGGAACAUGCUGACGCACACAGAGCACCCGUCACUGAGCACGCUCUAAACCCAGACGCCUUUCAUUCCCCUCACUAGCAGCUAACAAAAAAUAAAAAAUCUGCAUGACAUCCACAUAUGCUGUUUUGCAAAAUGAAAAAGAAAAUACAUCGCUCUGAUGUAGAAAUGUCAUAAAUGUCUUAUGUUAAGUACAAUCUGGUUUUUCCCUGCGUCUGCUCCAACACAAACACCAGCGUUCCCUGGUGUGGGGGAGAGAGAUCAUCAGAACAGGCAGGACUCCGCCUUUCCCUUCGGCCUCUGCUCAGGCCCUCGUUUAUCACUCACAUAUGUGUUUUUCUUGCUGUAGCACUCUAGAUGGGUUAGUUAUCUGGCACCAAUUUGGAGCACCAUCCAUCAAGAUUUAGAUACGGUGGCGAGCGGAGCCUUCAAACGCAGGCCGCAACGGCCGUAGCCGCGGCUGUCACUUCACAUUUCAGCUUGCGAAAUUUAAAUAUCAACAAUGUUUG